CGAAUAGGGGAGCCGAAGGGAAACCGAGUCUUAACUGGGCGUUAAGUUGCAGGGUAUAGACCCGAAACCCGGUGAUCUAGCCAUGGGCAGGUUGAAGGUUGGGUAACACUAACUGGAGGACCGAACCGACUAAUGUUGAAAAAUUAGCGGAUGACUUGUGGCUGGGGGUGAAAGGCCAAUCAAACCGGGAGAUAGCUGGUUCUCCCCGAAAGCUAUUUAGGUAGCGCCUCGUGAAUUCAUCUCCGGGGGUAGAGCACUGUUUCGGCAAGGGGGUCAUCCCGACUUACCAACCCGAUGCAAACUGCGAAUACCGGAGAAUGUUAUCACGGGAGACACACGGCGGGUGCUAACGUCCGUCGUGAAGAGGGAAACAACCCAGACCGCCAGCUAAGGUCCCAAAGUCAUGGUUAAGUGGGAAACGAUG
rnacentral:rRNA from 1 species